UCUCGCACACACGUGUCGCUCCUCUAAAUCUUCACUCACAUCUCGAACGAAACACAAUCUCACCAUCUUGUAAAAUACUGACAACCAGGGUGCCGCAUGGAGGUACAAGAAAUGUGGCAAACCCACCAUAACCGAAACCCUGUUUCCAACCAGCAGCAGAAAGUCGUCCUAAUAUUUUUUCCUCGUCCAUCCAUCCAUCCAUCCCUUUAAAAAGGAAAAACUGUCCCAUACAAUGCAACAAUAAUAAUAAUAAUAACGAUGAAAAUAAUGCAAUAAAAUAAUCCUGAAGCAGA